AGGGAAUAGAUACCCGGGUAGUCCACGCCGUAAACUAUGGACGCUAGCUGUUAGAAGUAUCGACCCUUCUAGUAGCGAAAGCUAAACGCGUUAAGCGUCCCGCCUGUGGAGUACGAGCGCAAGCUUAAAACAUAAAGGAAUUGACGGGGACCCGCACAAGCGGUGGAGCGUGUUGUUUAAUUCGAUGCUAAGCGAAGAACCUUACCCAGGUUUGACAUCCUACUAAUUUCUCCGAAAGGAGAGAGUGCCUUCGGGCCGUAGUGACAGGUGUUGCAUGGCCGUCGUCAGCUCGUGUCGUGAGAUGUUUGGUUAAGUCCAUCAACGAGCGCAACCCUUUUGUUUAGUUGUAUUUCUCUAAACAGACUGCCCUGGCAACAGGGAGGAAGGAGGGGAUGAUGUCAGGUCAGUAUUACCCUUACGUCUGGGGCUACAAACACGCUACAAUGGACGGUACAAAGGGCAG
rnacentral:rRNA from 1 species